UGACUUAAAUUGAUGGCCCCCAUUUUUAACCCGGCUGCUGCCCUUGCUUUUCCCUCUGCUGUCCGGCCGCCUGUUGCUUCCCUCCCUUUGCUCCCAUUUUGCAGCUUUUCUUGAAAUCUGGCAAGCGCCAGGAAGGGAAAUAACUUCCAUGCACCUUAAUUUAAAUCAAUCAAAUGUAAGUUUCUUUCUUCAAGGGAGGGAUGUUUGCUCGCUCCUUUCCCCCGCUCCAAGAAGGGGGUGGGGGUUGGUUUCGGGCAGUUUCUUGGAGAUGAGGUAAUGAGUUCCAGAUUUUAGGACAGAGCAGGGUGCGCGUUAAAAACCACAAGGUUAGUCUGCGUCCUGAUGUGAAGUUAUUUCGGUUGUUUUAUCCCCCCGCCCCUCCCCCCCAAAGGGCCCAUUGGUCUGAGGGUUCUCGAAGCUGUGCUGGGGGUACAGGGUGAGGUGGAGAACCGAGGGGUGAGGGGGACGCGCGGGGCGGUUGUUCCCGCCCGGGGCCGGGCCGCGCCCGCCGCUCCCCUCCCCUCUCCGGGGGCGCUCUCCCCCGCGCCUGCGGGACCGGCCCGAGCACCACUACCGGCCUCGGCGCCCCGGGCUACUUAGAACACCCCCCCCUCGCCACCCCCCGCAAAGAAAACCCGAUUCCUCGAAUUUCCUCCGCUUUUCCAACUCCCGGAGGGCACUCCCCUCCCCCGCUCCCGGAGGGGGCGCGGGCUCCGCGGGGCGGCGGCCAGCCUGGCCCGCUGGCCCCGGAGUUGUUUACCGGCCCGGCCGACCGACCGGGUUUGUUCCAGCUCCCAGAGCCUGCCUCUAUAAUUAAACCCUUUUUUUAAUUGUCGGGUUGAAACGUCAUUUCGGGGACUUUCCAAGGGUGAGGGAGCCGAGGGGAGGGAGCGAGCCUCCUUAACCCUUCGCUGACCCGGGCGCAGCUUCUGGCACGGCCGGGACGGGGUGGCGAUCUGGGGGCCUGAGCCGGCCAGUCCCCGCGGAGAGGUGCUCCGCAAGUGCCCGAUGGUGGCGGGAACGGCAGAGCCGCGACCCGGCAGGAAGCGCGACGGGAGGCGUGCACCGCCCUCCCCGCCGCUGGGCUCGGCGGGGCGCCCCGCGGCUCCUUCCCCGCGCCGUGCGCAGCGCAGAAGGGCCGCCCCUUCACCUGCACCGCCGCUUCCGACUGGGCGGCGCCGCGCCAGGUCCCCGGCCGGGCGGACUUCCGGGCCCUCCCUGCGCGCUGGGAGCCGGGCUCCGCGAGGGGCGGGCCUAGCCAGGUCUUUUUGGCUUGGGGGUACCAGGUUUUGUCAAAGGGGGAAAGUGAAAGUCCUCGGAAUUAGGGAAACACGACGGAUCUAUUCUGUGACCAGUCUGGACCCUGGGCGCACCUCGAGGCAGGAUUUCCGAUAUGAUGUUGAAUGGCACGGUGAAAGUGAACACCCUCGCCGUGAUGGCAGUCUCAGGAGAAAGCAUUCAGUCUUUCACUAUUAAAAAAUAAAAAAUAAAUGUUUGAAAAAAUACUGGAUUCUAAGAGUUGGACUCCAGGGUUGAAGUCUUAGAACAUAAGUAAAUUGUAAACAGAAUAUUAAAUGUAAGCAAAGAUUUCUCUCAAGCUUCUAUGUCAUCAGCAGUACUUUUCUAAAGUGGCGGAGAACGUGGUGCAUUAAUGAAGAUGAGGAGGAGGAAGGAGGGGACCUGGCCAAAGAGCAAGGUGUGGAGAAGGCGAGGGGGCCCUUGAGGGCACUUCCAGAGAAGCCCUUGGCCGCAGGCAUCCAGGGCCUGGGAAAAGAGUACAGCCCCCGGGCCCACCUGGUGCUCUCGGGCCCCUCUGCCCCAGGAUGCAGCUGGCUCCAGGUGUGCCCCAGGCAGAGCAUGACAUCCGCUCUCCUCUUGCUGCUCUCGGCUGGGCCUGCUAAGGACUCAGCCAGCGCCCAAUGGCAUUGACGCCCCAGGGUGGGAAGCAAGCCUGCGGCUGGGGGGACAGCCAGAUGGACUCCAGUCGAUUUGCCUCAGACAGCUGGGGAGCAGAGCCAGGACACUCCUCAUCCCCCUCCCCACCCCUCCAGACAAGGAGGGGAGCGGCCGCCACUUCUAGGAUUUCUCUGCCACCACACCCAUUGAGAAGUGCCACCUGCUUCCAUCAGUACCGGGGCUGACCCUCAGGACCUCCCACAGGUGGGGUUUGUGGUACUCCCCAGUGGCCAAGAACUUUGAAGGUACCUCACAGUUAUCAGCGUCAUCCUGCAUUCUUUCUGUGUCCGGACAACGCCCACUGGCCCGGGGGUGGGCGCUGCUGGGAGGAAGGAUCUUGUGCUGGAAACCUGCCCCUGCCUCCCUACCAGAUCCUCCAGAUGCUCAGGCCAACUUCAGCCAGACAGCGAGGAUCAGGGGGUACCCAGACUCCCCCAAGAAGUUGACCCCAGGCAGCAAGUCAUCCCACCCCCAGCCCAGAGCUUUACCAGCAACACCUGCCCAGGGGGUGCACCGUCCCUGAGCCCCAGCCCUUCUGGGUGGAACCUGGUGAGUCCCCCACCUGGACACCCAGAGAAGGGCAGGUUCCAUGAGCAGUGGGGCCCAGGCCCACACAACGUGGAGGAAACACCAUCUGCCCCAGCCCUGGGCCGGGCCUGGCAGCCAUAGCCACCCUCACAGGGGGGCCCCUCUCCAGAAGGGAGCUCCUCUUCCAAGGACACCCAGGUCCUCGCUGCUACUGCGGCCCCGCCUGCCGGCUGUGGCCGCCUUCUUGCCAGCACUGCUUCAGCAGAUGAACAAGAAUAAAAGCCUGUGUGGCCCAAGGAAGUCUUUAGGGGAAAGAAUUGAAGCUGAAGGAAAGCGGGGGAGGUUAUAAGAAAUAGGAGAGGAAAGAGAUUCGGGAAACAGACAGAAUAAACCAUCCGGGAAUCCAGAUGUAAAACAAGGAAGGCCAAAAGAAGGGAAAAGUUAUGCUAAGAAGGCAGAGUAGGGUGGGGAGGGGAAUUGAGAACGAAAAAGAAGAAGAGGGCAGUUAUAAAUAUUCUGCAAAGAGAGAAGUAUGUGAAAGCAAACAACACCAGAAAAAAGAAAGAGAGACCCAGGAGAGAAAAGGAGGCAGCGAUGAACUUAACAACAACUGCGUUGACCCUCAACCAACCACACUCAUUAGUUCUGAGUCUGACGGCUCUUUGUGGAUUUCGGGCUCCUCUGAACACAGAGCAAGGACAGCCCUAGAAAAGCAAGCUUUCCUUCUUGCCCUUGGUUUUCCUACAGUGCUCCCAACUUACCCCAGCUGGUGGUAUU